rnacentral:rRNA from 1 species
GAUGAACGCUGGCGGCGUGCCUAAUACAUGCAAGUCGAGCGAACAGACGAGGAGCUUGCUCCUCUGACGUUAGCGGCGGACGGGUGAGUAACACGUGGAUAACCUACCUAUAAGACUGGGAUAACUUCGGGAAACCGGAGCUAAUACCGGAUAAUAUAUUGAACCGCAUGGUUCAAUAGUGAAAGACGGUUUUGCUGUCACUUAUAGAUGGAUCCGCGCCGCAUUAGCUAGUUGGUAAGGUAACGGCUUACCAAGGCAACGAUGCGUAGCCGACCUGAGAGGGAGACGGCCAACAGUGGAAUAGAGACGGGGCCAAGCUCCUGCGGGGAGGAGAAAGGGGGAAUUUUUGCAAAAGGGGGAAAAGUUGGAAGGACAAGCCCGGGGGGGGGAAAGAAGGUUUUCGGAUCGAAAAACUUUUUUAUAGGGGAAAAAAAAUGUGGAAGUAAACAUGGCCCUUUUGGGGGGACCCAAACAGAAGAACCCGGGCAAGCACGGGC